GAAUCAGUGUGCCAUAGUGGCUUGAGUGUUGGACUGCGACUACGGAGACCAGGGUUCAAAUCCCUGCUGGGUCA